rnacentral:rRNA from 1 species
ACUCCUACGGGAGGCAGCAGUGGGGAAUAUUGCACAAUGGGGGAAACCCUGAUGCAGCCAUGCCGCGUGUGUGAAGAAGGCCUUCGGGUUGUAAAGCACUUUCAGUAGGGAGGAAGGUAGUGUAGUUAACACCUGCAUUAUUUGACGUUACCUACAGAAGAAGCACCGGCUAACUCCGUGCCAGCAGCCGCGGUAAUACGGAGGGUGCGAGCGUUAAUCGGAAUUACUGGGCGUAAAGCGCAUGCAGGCGGCCUGUUAAGUCAGAUGUGAAAGCCCGGGGCUUAACCUCGGAAUUGCAUUUGAAACUGGCAGGCUAGAGUCUUGUAGAGGGGGGUAGAAUUUCAGGUGUAGCGGUGAAAUGCGUAGAGAUCUGAAGGAAUACCAGUGGCGAAGGCGGCCCCCUGGACAAAGACUGACGCUCAGAUGCGAAAGCGUGGGGAGCAAACAGGAUUAGAUACCCUGGGGAGCACAGAG